GUGGGGAAUCUUAGACAAUGGGCGCAAGCCUGAUCUAGCCAUGCCGCGUGAGCGAUGAAGGCCUUAGGGUUGUAAAGCUCUUUCAGGGGGGAAGAUAAUGACGGUACCCCCAGAAGAAGCCCCGGCUAACUCCGUGCCAGCAGCCGCGGUAAUACGGAGGGGGCUAGCGUUGUUCGGAAUUACUGGGCGUUAAGCGCACGUAGGCGGACCAGAAAGUCAGGGGUGAAAUCCCGGGGCUCAACCCCGGAACUGCCUUUGAAACUCCUGGUCUUGAGGUCGAGAGAGGUGAGUGGAAUUCCGAGUGUAGAGGUGAAAUUCGUAGAUAUUCGGAGGAACACCAGUGGCGAAGGCGGCUCACUGGCUCGAUACUGACGCUGAGGUGCGAAAGCGUGGGGAGCAAACAGGAUUAGAAACCCGUGUAGUCC
rnacentral:rRNA from 1 species